rnacentral:rRNA from 1 species
AGAGUUUGAUCCUGGCUCAGAUUGAACGCUAGCGGGAUGCCUUACACAUGCAAGUCGAACGGCAGCACGGACUUCGGUCUGGUGGCGAGUGGCGAACGGGUGAGUAAUGUAUCGGAACGUGCCCAGUAGCGGGGGAUAACUACGCGAAAGCGUAGCUAAUACCGCAUACGCCCUACGGGGGAAAGCAGGGGAUCGCAAGACCUUGCACUAUUGGAGCGGCCGAUAUCGGAUUAGCUAGUUGGUGGGGUAACGGCUCACCAAGGCGACGAUCCGUAGCUGGUUUGAGAGGACGACCAGCCACACUGGGACUGAGACACGGCCCAGACUCCUACGGGAGGCAGCAGUGGGGAAUUUUGGACAAUGGGGGAAACCCUGAUCCAGCCAUCCCGCGUGUGCGAUGAAGGCCUUCGGGUUGUAAAGCACUUUUGGCAGGAAAGAAACGUCAUGGGUUAAUACCCCGUGAAACUGACGGUACCUGCAGAAUAAGCACCGGCUAACUACGUGCCAGCAGCCGCGGUAAUACGUANGGUGCAAGCGUUAAUCGGAAUUACUGGGCGUAAAGCGUGCGCAGGCGGUUCGGAAAGAAAGAUGUGAAAUCCCAGAGCUUAACUUUGGAACUG